AGGCUUUGUGCCGGUGAAAUGUAUCAGGUUUUGUGCCUAGCAGACUUUAUGCCGGUGUUUUAUACAAGGCUCUAUGUUCUAUAAAUCUUAUGUGAGCAAUAGUAAAAGCAAAUAAAGGUGUUAAGAAAGCUAAAUUAUUCAGAUUUUGGAAUCGUGUUACGAGCUCGGGGAUCAUCAGCAAGCCUAUCACACUAUCGACUGUUUUCUUCGGUAUUUUACUAAGUUAAAAUUUGAGCUUAUGGCAUGUAUAGUCUGGAUAAAAUAAUUGAUUUUGGAACUUGUAUGUAUAUAGCCAUGCGAAAAAUGGCUUGUCUUUAAUCAUUAGUAUUUGUUUUGGUUUUUGUCU